rnacentral:rRNA from 1 species
UACGUAGGGCGCGAGCGUUGUCCGGAAUUAUUGGGCGUAAAGAGCUCGUAGGCGGUUUGUCGCGUCGGUUGUGAAAACCCAAGGCUCAACCUUGGGCCUGCAAUCGAUACGGGCAGACUAGAGUACUGCAGGGGAGACUGGAAUUCCUGGUGUAGCGGUGGAAUGCGCAGAUAUCAGGAAGAACAUCAGUGGCGAAGGCGGCCUGCUGGGCUGUUGCUGACGCUGAGGCGCGACAGCGUGGGGAGCAAACAGG